UACGGGGGGAGCAAGCGUUGUUCGGAUUUACUGGGCGUAAAGGGCGCGUAGGCGGUCGUGACAAGUCACUUGUGAAAUCUCCGGGCUUAACUCGGAACGGUCGAAGUGAUACUGUCGGACUAGAGUACAGAAGGGGCAACUGGAAUUCUCGGGUGUAGCGGUGAAAUGCGUAGAGUAUCGAAGAGGAACACCUGCGGCGAAGGCGGGAUUGCUGGGCUGACACGUGACGCUGGAGGCGCGAAAGCUAGGGAGCGAACGGG
rnacentral:rRNA from 1 species